AAUAUUAUUUUAUUAUUUCUCUAUCUACUGCCAAUCACUUUUCAUUGGUUUUUCUCUUCAUCCCCAAAAUUCUCUAUUGGACCAUGUCAUCUUUUUUUCUUUCUUUCUCCUGAAUCUCCCUUCUCUGUCUUCAUCCCCUUCUCUCUGUUGGCCUUUUCUUCUUCAACCCGCAAUCCCUUUUCUUCUUCAACCCGUCACUCUUCCCCAACCUGCAAGCGUCCCCUUCUCCCCAGUGGAACAGACUUCAGCAUACAUAUCCAAAAAAAGGCUGUUAUAUACUGAGGCCAUGGGCGAUGUCGAACAGGGAGAUCAUGAAAACAUUCUUUGAUGCUGAAAUAAAGAAAAUGAACAUCCAGAACUGCUACUUCCCUCUUUUUGUUUCUCCUGGUGUAUUGCAGAAGGAGAAGGAUCAUGUUGAGGGUUUUGCUCCUCAGUGUACAUUGGAAAUCCGAUUGUUUCCAUGAUAAUUCAAUCUAUUAAAAGAGAAGGUUGCCAACCACAUUGGAUCUUGGGCUUGCUUUAGAUCCCGUGGGUCACAAAAUCUGGGGAGUCUGAUUUGGAAGUGCCUAUAGCCAUUCGCCCAACCAGUGAGACAGUCAUGUAUCCCUAUUAUUCCAAGCGGAUUAGGGGACACCGUGACUGGCCAUUGAGACGUAAUCAAUGGUGUAAUGUUGUGCGAUGGGAAUUCAGCAAUCCCACACCAUUUACAAGGAGUCGUGAGUUUCUUUGGCAGGAAGGGCAUACUGCUUUUGCAACAAAAGCAGAGACAGAUGCAGAGGUAUGAAACUCCCCUCUUUGGAUUGUGAUUUAUCCCUCUAUUGUAAUUAAUGUACAAGCAAGAGACUGGUUGGUAGCUUUUUUCUUUCCUCUUAAUUGUUGAUAUGCACUUUAAUCCCAAGUUAUAUGCUGCAGCAUCUUUUCUUCUCAUUGAUACUAGUAGUGGCACUCGCCCUCCAGUAUAAUUAGGAGUUUCUCAAUUUUUUUUUCCUUCAUCUAAUAUCUUCCGUUGCAU